rnacentral:lncRNA from 10 species
GUGAAAUUGUAUCCCUGAUAAAGAAAUUCUGUGGCGUAACAAGUUGCUGUCACACUGGCUUUUUAAAAUAUAUGUAUAUAUUUGAAAUACACAUGCACACAACUAAGUUAGAUUCGUCCACCGUUACUAAUAGAAAACUACAAUGUAGUGGCUUAAAAGGAGAAGGAAUUCUGUUUCUCAUGGUUCAGUGUGAAUGAGUGCAGUAUUCAAAAACAUGAAGUCAGAGUCCAGUACUCAAGUUCUGUAUCACUGAACAUCCUGUGGAAGGCCACCAGUCAAAGAGCAGCAAGAGCACACCUAAAUUAGGAUUAUUAGCUUGCUUCAGCUAAGGAGAAAGUUCUUCAUGAGAGCCAUCUAACCUCUUGGAAUCAGUUCAAUAAGUGGUUAUCUCGGGAAGUUUUAUUAAGAGUCAGAAGAAAUGAAGCUAGGCUGGGCAUGUCUUUGCUCAGAAGAAAAAAUUGUUACCAUCUUGCAUUAGCUUUGUGGUCUUUUUGAAUAAUAAUUAUAUUACCAAAACUAGAGAGAAAAAGUAAAAGAUCUAUAGCAUUGCUAACAUCUACUGUAUGUAAUUUGUUAUAUUUUUUAUUAUGUAUAAUAAAUGCUAUUCAGGCUCUUCUCAAUAUUACAUGCUUACAUUUCAGCUAAGAAAAUGGUAAAUUGUAUUCCAUAGACAUAUAACUUGUAGAAAAAUCAUUAAUUUAAAAAGAGCCAUAGCCAGGCACUGUGGCUUAUACCUAUAAUCCUAGCUAUUCACGCUGUCUAGAUGGGAGCAUCCCUUGAGUCCAGUAGUUCCAGGCUGCAGUGAGCUAUGAUCCUGCCACUACACUGCAGCCUGGGAAACAGAGGGAGUUCCCCAUCUCUUGAAAAAAAAAGCGGCAUCCAUAUUCUAAGUAUAAAUUAUUAUUAUUUGUCUAGGUUUUGC